UCGAACGCGAAAGUGGAGCAUCCAUGAGUAGAGUGGCAAACGGGUGAGUAACACGUGGGUGACCUGCCUUCGAGCGGGGGAUAACGUCCCGAAAGGGACGCUAAUACCGCAUAACAUCCUGCCUUUGAAGAGGUGGUGAUCAAAGCUGGCGCAAGCUAGCACUCGAAGAGGGGCCCGCGUCCGAUUAGCUAGUUGGUGAGGUAACGGCUCACCAAGGCAACGAUCGGUAGCCGGCCUGAGAGGGCGGACGGCCACACUGGGACUGAGGCACGGCCCAGACUCCUACGGGAGGCAGCAGUGGGGAAUUGUUCGCAAUGGGCGCAAGCCUGACGACGCAACGCCGCGUGGAGGAUGAAGAUCUUCGGGUCGUAAACUCCUUUCGAUCGAGACGAAUAGUCUCCGGGUGAAUAAUCCGGAGAAAUGACGGUACCGAGAGAAGAAGCCCCGGCUAACUCCGUGCCAGCAGCCGCGGUAAUACGGGGGGGGCAAGCGUUGUUCGGAAUUACUGGGCGUAAAGGGCUUGUAGGUGGCCAACUAAGUCAAACGUGAAAUCCCUCGGCUUAACCGGGGAACUGCGUCUGAUACUGGAUGGCUCGAGUUUGGGAGAGGGAUGCGGAAUUCCAGGUGUAGCGGUGAAAUGCGUAGAUAUCUGGAGGAACACCGGUGGCGAAGGCGGCAUCCUGGACCAAUACUGACA
rnacentral:rRNA from 1 species